UACGUAGGUGGCAAGCGUUGUCCGGAAUUAUUGGGCGUAAAGCGCGCGCAGGCGGUCCUUUCAGUCUGAUGUGAAAGCCCACGGCUCAACCGUGGAGGGUCAUUGGAAACUGGGGGACUUGAGUGCAGAAGAGGAAAGCGGAAUUCCACGUGUAGCGGUGAAAUGCGUAGAGAUGUGGAGGAACACCAGUGGCGAAGGCGGCUUUCUGGUCUGUAACUGACGCUGAGGCGCGAAAGCGUGGGGAGCAAACAGG
rnacentral:rRNA from 1 species